GGAAAUCAUGAUUAAAACCGAAAUAUUCUCUCAAGAAAUGCUCCACUGUUUCCCCUGUUUCGAGUUUAUGCUUUAAAUCUCCAUAUUGUGAUGUAAUCAAUCCGUUUAAGGUCCAAGCUACAGGACAUAUCCAAUAGUACCAUUUCCACCACACAGGGAUCCUAGGUUGUGGGAUCAUGAAUCCUGAAAAUAGGUUCCACAUUCCAUAAACUGCAACAUUGAUGGUGGAUGCAAAAUGCUGGUUUGGUGAC
rnacentral:misc_RNA from 1 species